GAAUUUUGGACAAUGGGCGCAAGCCUGAUCCAGCAAUGCCGCGUGUGUGAAGAAGGCCUUCGGGUUGUAAAGCACUUUUAUCAGGGAAGAAAUCCUGCGGGCUAAUACCCUGUGGGGAUGACGGUACCUGAGGAAUAAGCACCGGCUAACUUCGUGCCAGCAGCCGCGGUAAUACGAAGGGUGCAAGCGUGAAUCGGAAUUACUGGGCGUAAAGGGUGCGUAGGCGGUUCGUUAAGUCGGAUGGGAAAGCCCUGGGCUCAACCUGGGAAUGGCAUCCGAAACUGGCGGGCUGGAGUGCGGUAGAGGAUGGUGGAAUUCCCGGUGUAGCGGUGAAAUGCGUAGAGAUCGGGAGGAACACCAGUGGCGAAGGCGGCCAUCUGGACCAGCACUGACGCUGAGGCACGAAAGCGUGGGGAGCAAACAG
rnacentral:rRNA from 1 species